UGAUCUCUGUUUCCUGUAUCUGCAUGUCAGCCAAAAUACUGCCUUAUACAGAAACAGCGAGGAGAGGCCUCAGCAAACCAGUUCAAGCAGUGAAGGCUUUGACUUCACACUGCAUCUAAAGGAAAUUAUCAGAAGCCAACAAAACCAACAGAUGCUCGUCAAGAACUGGAAUAUACUGCAGCAAUCAGCCCCAGCGGGUAGAGCCGCCAGUCAGCCAGCGAGGCAGACCCACAAACAUCAGCCACGUCUGAAUCAUAAUAUGUGGCCUCUUUCACAACAUGGGUGGGAUUGGUUGUUGUUUACCGAGGAAUGUUUAUGUAGAACCACAGCGCAGUGUGGAAAUGCUUAUCUGAUGUGAAUCUGAGUUAAUUAAUUGGUUUGCACUGGUGAAAGCAUCUGGUGUUAUCAGGCCAAAGCAGCCUUAUCAAAUAAAUAGGAACGCCGAGGAAUGACAUUUAUGUCCGCUCUGUCCUGUGUCAUAAUAUAGUGUGUGAUAUUUAUUGCUGUGGGACCAUUAAUGCAUUGAAGAAAAGUGAGAAAUAACACGGCGUGACAUCAUAUCAGCAAUGUGUGCAUCCAUGGUUAUUUCUGGGACGAAAGCUACUCUGUAAAAGGCAAACUUGAAUUUCCCUGUGUGUCUCCCUCUGUAGCUGACAGGAACAGAGUCAGAACUUUGGCUGGAGUUCAAGCUGACCUCGUUGCUCUAUGCAAAUAUCUACCACUAGAUGGCGAUGGAGACCACUGCACAGACUGGAUGGGUACAGUAAAGUCCAGAGGGUCUUGUACAGUAAAGGGAGCUCUUGUGGAACAAUCCACUGAGGAGCUUUAUUUUCCCCAGGUUUUUUUUUGCUCUUCGUGGACCUUUAGUGGAGACUGGACAGCAGAUUUGGUGAAAUGAGGACAACAUAUGUGAUGUUUAAAGCUGGAAUGACUGCAAUGCUCAUAUUUCUAUUCACCUUGAAAUCAAAAUGCAAUAAAAAUCAAUAUUUCUUU